UUGAUUAAUAAGAAAGUUAUUACCAGGCGUUCAUGUACUGCCUGUUUUCAAUCCUGGAAACAUACCAGUGUUGUAAACAUAGAACUGUAGGGGAAAUGAUAACAAGCAUGUCAAGGAAAUACCCA